rnacentral:rRNA from 1 species
GACGAACGCUGGCGGCGUGCUUAACACAUGCAAGUCGAACGGAAAGGCCCUGCUUUUGUGGGGUGCUCGAGUGGCGAACGGGUGAGUAACACGUGAGUAACCUGCCCUUGACUUUGGGAUAACUUCAGGAAACUGGGGCUAAUACCGGAUAGGAGCUCCUGCUGCAUGGUGGGGGUUGGAAAGUUUCGGCGGUUGGGGAUGGACUCGCGGCUUAUCAGCUUGUUGGUGGGGUAGUGGCUUACCAAGGCUUUGACGGGUAGCCGGCCUGAGAGGGUGACCGGCCACAUUGGGACUGAGAUACGGCCCAGACUCCUACGGGAGGCAGCAGUGGGGAAUAUUGCACAAUGGGCGGAAGCCUGAUGCAGCAACGCCGCGUGCGGGAUGACGGCCUUCGGGUUGUAAACCGCUUUCGCCUGUGACGAAGCGUGAGUGACGGUAAUGGGUAAAGAAGCACCGGCUAACCACGUGCCAGCAGCCGCGGUGAUACGUAGGGUGCGAGCGUUGUCCGGAUUUAUUGGGCGUAAAGGGCUCGUAGGUGGUUGAUCGCGUCGGAAGUGUAAUCUUGGGGCUUAACCCUGAGCGUGCUUUCGAUACGGGUUGACUUGAGGAAGGUAGGGGAGAAUGGAAUUCCUGGUGGAGCGGUGGAAUGCGCAGAUAUCAGGAGGAACACCAGUGGCGAAGGCGGUUCUCUGGGCCUUUCCUGACGCUGAGGAGCGAAAGCGUGGGGAGCGAACAGGCUUAGAUACCCUGGUAGUCCACGCUGUAAACGGUGGGUACUAGGUGUGGGGUCCAUUCCACGGGUUCCGUGCCGUAGCUAACGCUUUAAGUACCCCGCCUGGGGAGUACGGCCGCAAGGCUAAAACUCAAAGGAAUUGACGGGGCCCCGCACAAGCGGCGGAGCAUGCGGAUUAAUUCGAUGCAACGCGUAGAACCUUACCUGGGUUUGACAUGGAUCGGGAGCGCUCAGAGAUGGGUGUGCCUCUUUUGGGGUCGGUUCACAGGUGGUGCAUGGCUGUCGUCAGCUCGUGUCGUGAGAUGUUGGGUUAAGUCCCGCAACGAGCGCAACCCUUGUUCACUGUUGCCAGCACGUUAUGGUGGGGACUCAGUGGAGACCGCCGGGGUCAACUCGGAGGAAGGUGGGGAUGACGUCAAGUCAUCAUGCCCCUUAUGUCCAGGGCUUCACGCAUGCUACAAUGGCUGGUACAGAGAGUGGCGAGCCUGUGAGGGUGAGCGAAUCUCGGAAAGCCGGUCUCAGUUCGGAUUGGGGUCUGCAACUCGACCUCAUGAAGUCGGAGCCGCUAGUAAUCGCAGAUCAGCAACGCUGCGGUGAAUACGUUCCCGGGGCU